rnacentral:rRNA from 1 species
UACGAAGGGGGCUAGCGUUGCUCGGAAUUACUGGGCGUAAAGCGCACGUAGGCGGUCUUUAAGUCGGGGGUGAAAUCCUGGAGCUCAACUCCAGAACUGCCUUCGAUACUGGAAGACUCGAGUCCGGGAGAGGUGAGUGGAACUGCGAGUGUAGAGGUGAAAUUCGUAGAUAUUCGCAAGAACACCAGUGGCGAAGGCGGCUCACUGGCCCGGUACUGACGCUGAGGUGCGAAAGCGUGGGGAGCG